GCAAGUCGAACUGCAGCACGGACUAGUUUACUAGUUGGGUGGCGAGUGGCGGACGGGUGAGUAACGCGUAGGAAUAUACCUUGAAGUGGGGGAUAACUUGGGGAAACUCAAGCUAAUACCGCAUAAGCUCUAAGGAGGAAAGCUGGGGACCUUCGGGCCUGGCGCUUUAAGAAUAGCCUGCGUCUGAUUAGCUAGUUGGUAGGGUAAAGGCCUACCAAGGCGACGAUCAGUAGCUGGUCUGAGAGGAUGAUC
rnacentral:rRNA from 1 species